UCCCUGGUGGCUCAGAGGUUAAAUAAAGCGUCUGCCUCCAAUGCGGGAGACCCAGGUUCGAUCCCUGGGUCGGGAA
rfam:Ovis aries breed Texel chromosome 2, whole genome shotgun sequence.